GGCUCUAUGGUCUAAUGGUUAUGACUUCUGCUUUACACGCAGACGGUUGAGAGUUCGAUCCUCUCUGGAGUCA
rnacentral:tRNA from 1 species